GUGCUGUGAAGAUAAUUGUGCAAUGUGUGAGAACUUGGGUCUUUCACUAUGUCUGAUAUCAGACGACAAAAUUGCUCAUCUGAGCCU